AGAGUUUGAUCCUGGCUCAGGAUGAACGCUGGCGGCGUGCUUAACACAUGCAAGUCGAACGGGCUCAUAUUGAAACCUAGUGAUUUAUGAGUUAGUGGCGGACGGGUGAGUAACGCGUGGAAAACCUGCCGUAUACUGGGGGAUAACACUUAGAAAUAGGUGCUAAUACCGCAUAAGCGCACAGCUUCGCAUGAAGUGGUGUGAAAAACUCUGGUGGUAUACGAUGGUUCCGCGUCUGAUUAGCUUGUUGGUGGGGUAAUGGCUCACCAAGGCGACGAUCAGUAGCCGGCCUGAGAGGGUGAACGGCCACAUUGGGACUGAGACACGGCCCAAACUCCUACGGGAGGCAGCAGUGGGGAAUAUUGCACAAUGGGGGAAACCCUGAUGCAGCGACGCCGCGUGAGUGAAGAAGUAUUUCGGUAUGUAAAGCUCUAUCAGCAGGGAAGAAAUAGCGACCUUUGGGUCGCCAGACGGUACCUGAUUAAGAAGCCCCGGCUAACUACGUGCCAGCAGCUGCGGUAAUACGUAGGGGGCAAGCGUUAUCCGGAUUUACUGGGUGUAAAGGGAGCGUAGACGGCAGCACAAGUCUGAAGUGAAAUGCCGGGGCUUAACCCCAGAACUGCUUUGGAAACUGUGCAGCUAGAGUGCAGGAGAGGUAAGUGGAAUUCCUAGUGUAGCGGUGAAAUGCGUAGAUAUUAGGAGGAACACCAGUGGCGAAGGCGGCUUACUGGACUGUAACUGACGUUGAGGCUCGAAAGCGUGGGGAGCAAACAGGAUUAGAUACCCUGGUAGUCCACGCUGUAAACGAUGAU
rnacentral:rRNA from 1 species